UGGGGAAUCGUCUAGCGGUAGGACAGCAGACUCUGAAUCUGCCGAGGAAGGUUCGAAUCCUUCUUCCCCAGCCA
rnacentral:tRNA from 1 species